GCUGGGCGUGGUGGCACGCGCCUGUAAUCCCAGCUACUUGGAGGCUGAGGCAGGAGAAUCGCUUGAACCCAGGAGGCGGAGGUUGCAGUGAGCCGAGAUCUCGCCACUGCACUCCAGCCUGGGCGACAGAGCUAGACUCCGUCUCAA
ensembl:misc_RNA Metazoa_SRP Metazoan signal recognition particle RNA